rnacentral:hammerhead_ribozyme from 1 species
GCACUGUUGAGGAGUCCCACAAUAGGACAAAACAGCCGUCCAGUGC